rnacentral:lncRNA from 1 species
CUGAGUUACCUCAUUAAGAGCAGUGCCGCAGCUGAGGGGACCAGCCGUGCCUGAAAGGCCGACAGGAAAGGCCGGGUGAGGAGGGAGGCCGGCCGUACCUGCUUCUCAUCCAUAUCACAUCGCCCCAGAACAAUUCCUCUUUCACAAUUUUAAAAGACACAGUUGACCAUAUGCUGAAAAGAAAGAGCCACGGCUUUCCGUCUCCCCGACUUCCCCGUCCAUGUCAGCCUAAGGAUGAACACAGGAGCUCAUUCUCACAAAAAUGAGAAAGUAGGAUGAGCCUGCAGAGGUGGGGAUCCAAGGCCCUGUGAGUAGAACGGCAGAGCCUUUAGGGGCUGGACCAACCGGGAGAGCCGAGGACGGGCAGUGCCAUGGGCUCCCACCGGGGAUGCAGGCAUGACGGCGGCCAGCAGGGCUCACGCGUCACUCUCCAGGCACCCGAGGUGUCUGAGAACACUGCCUUCUUUCAUCUGCAUGAUUGUAUCAAGUCGUCACUGCUGUUCAUCUUACAGAUAAGACAUUUGAAUCCUGUGCAGUUUCCAAAGCUAAAUAGUGACAGAACCUUCAGGGGACACAGUGCAAUGACCACUGCCCUGGGCAGCCGUGGAGUGGAGUUUGCAAGUUUCAGGAGCCGGCUGGGAGGACUCAGCUUCCAAAACCGGAGGGGCCAUGGCUGGGCCUGGUGUCCGCUCUCACCCUGGGCGGGCAUGACAUCUGCCCUGAGAUCCCUCAGACAAGUGAAACUGACUGCAGCCACCACAGCAAGCUGCAAGCAGGGCUUCCUCCAGCCCGGCCUCAGUGAGGAGGAGCCAGGAAGAGAGAGCAACACCAUAUCCUAUUCCUUGUCUUCAAGAACUGCAUGA